AACGCAUAUUGCGCUCUCUGGUAUUCCGGAGAGCAUGCUUGUUUGAGUAUCAGUAAACACCUCAACCCCUUUUUUCUUUUUUGAAAUUGGAGCUGGACUUGAGUGAUCCCAACGCUUUCUUCCAAGAAAGUGGCGGGUUGCUUGAAAUGCAGGUGCAGCUGAACUUUUCUCUGAGCUAUAAGCAUAUCUAUUUAGUCUGCCUAAAAAACAGAUUAUUACCUUUGCUGCAGCUAACAUAAAGGAGACUAGUUCUUGUGCUGACUGAUGCAGGAUUCACAGAGACAGCUUCGGCUGACUUUGUAAACUCGAUCUCAAAUCAAGUAAGACUACCCGCUGAACUUAA
rnacentral:misc_RNA from 1 species